CAAAGCUUAAUUAUUUUUUUAAAAAAUUCCAAAAUUUAUAAAAAACCCUUAACUACUAUUAAGUACUUCCAUAUCUUUAUGGAAUUUACAAUGUUAAAACUAGUAACAAGAAGAAGCCCUUCUCUUAAAUGCAAGUGUAAAUCAGAAAGGACACACCACUGAUAAUUAACACCUAUGAAUACAAAGUAGUAACUUCACAAGAAAAUUCUACUAAAUCUAAUGUUAACCUAACACAAGAGCAUUAAAAGAAAGAUAAAAAGGAAAAGAAGGAACUCGGCAAAUAUUAACCUCGCCUGUUUACCAAAAACAUCGCCUCUUGAUACCCAUAAGAGGUACAGCCUGCCCAGUGACUCUGUUUAACGGCCGCGGUAUC
rnacentral:rRNA from 1 species